rnacentral:rRNA from 1 species
AUUGAACGCUGGCGGCAGGCCUAACACAUGCAAGUCGAACGAGUGGCGGACGGGUGAGUAAUGUCUGGGAAACUGCCUGAUGGAGGGGGAUAACUACUGGAAACGGUAGCUAAUACCGCAUACCAUCAGAUGUGCCCAGAUGGGAUUAGCUGGUGGGUGGGGUAACGGCGCGCCAAGGCGACGAUCCCUAGCUGGUCUGAGAGGAUGACCAGCCACACGGGAACUGAGACAGGGUCCAGACGCCUACGGGAGGCAGCAGUGGGGAAUGUGGCACAAUGGGCGCAAGCCUGAUGCAGCCAUGCAGCGUGUAUGAAGAAGGCCUUCGGGGUGGAAAGUACUUUCAGCGGUGAGGCGUUACCCGCAGAAGAAGCACCGGCUAACUCCGUGCCAGCCGCCGCGGUAAUUC